CAGCACCUCAAGUGGUCAGGAUGAUUAUUGGGCCUAAAGCAUCGGUAGCCGGCGCUGUAAGUUUUCGGUUAAAUCUGUACGCUCAACGUACAGGCUGCCGGGAAUACUGCAGCGCUAGGGAGUGGGAGAGGUAGACGGUACUCGGUAGGAAGGGGUAAAAUCCUUUGAUCUAUUGAUGACCACCUGUGGCGAAGGCGGUCUACCAGAACACGUCCGACGGUGAGGGAUGAAAGCUGGGGGAGCAAACCGGAUUAGAUACCCGAGUAGUCC
rnacentral:rRNA from 1 species